AGGGUGUAUAGUGAGAGGUAUCAGGAGGGCUGUAAGUUAUAGUAGUUGACAUGUAGGAUGGAGAAGGGUGUAUAGUGAGAGGUAUCAGGAGGGCUGUAGUUAUAGUAGUUGACAUGUAGUGUCAGGGUAGGAUGGGGAAGGGUGUAUAGUGAAGAGGUAUCAGGAGGGCUGUAGUUGUAGUAGUUGACAUGUAGUGUCAGGGUAGGAUGGGGGAGGGUGUAUAGUGAGAGGUAUCAGGAGGGCUGUAGUUGUAGUAGUUGACAUGUAGUGUCAGGUAGGAUGGGGAAGGUGUAUAGUGAGAGGUAUCAGCAGGGCUGUAGUUAUAGUAGUUGACAUGUAGUGCUGGAGUUGCAGAUCAUUCUUCAUAUGGUUGAACUUGAAACGUCAGUAAAGUAAACUUUUUCAUGUUAUGUCUGUGUACCACCUGAAAAGAAGUGGAAAACCACACUCAACCCUCUCCUCUUCUGUGUGUGUUGUUUGUGUGUGUGUUGGCUGUCCCUUUCGCCCUCAGAUUCCCCUAAAGGUGCGGGUGACCCCGGCAGGCCCUGCGAGUCCGGCUUGCGUGAACCUGUAGCUCUGGAUGCACGCCACAGGUAGGCCACGCCCUCCGUUACCUGGCAACGCCACGGAACACAGCUGGUAACCCACAAAGACCGAGGACACCCAGUACACUGAAGGUCAGGCUGUCUGCCCGUCACCUACAUACAGACAUGCUGUACACACCACACACAACACACACACACACACACACACACA